GUUGGCAAGCAUUGACUUGUUUCCGGAUGUUGGAGGGGGAGCUUUGAGAGAAGAAGCGAGCGUGCAAUUGUACAAAGAGAAGCAGAGGGCCAGCAUCUUCUUUAGAAAGAUCGGCAACCAAGUUCGCAAGGGUUAUGGCGACCAACGACAUAGAAUGAAGGCAAGUAUAAUGAUAGAUGAUAAACAGCAAUCUCGUUGAAAUUGGGUAAGAAAUGAAGCAUAUUGAAGGGGAAUGGAAACCAUUGAUGAUAAAAAGAGAAGAAGCUUGCUGUAUUUUCAUAUCAUCCAAAAGCGUAUUUUCAUAUCAUCUUAAAGUGGAAUUGUAGCAAAUAGAUCCUAUCUCCUUUUUACAAAAUAACACUUCCUACCAUGAUGCACCAAGUGGCAGCAUCCUGAACAGAUAAUUGCAACCCUCUCAAUCUUAUUAGGGCAGUUUUAUAUGUGCUAAUACUUUGCAGGUCCAGCAUAUAUGUGAUAAUUCCUAUGUUUUUCAGCAAUUUGAAAGGUUCUUAAUACAUAGGAUUACAGGCAAUUUUUUUGUAACACAAGGUUAAUGGUGCCAUGAUAUUGGGGCGUUACAGACAAUUUUUUGUAUAUUCAGCUGGGUUGGAUAACCCCUUGCAGCUUUUAGAUCGGUUGGUAGAGUCCAAUCUAGUA